GACAAUUUUAGAGUCAAACCUUGCUCGCACUGCCCCAUCCCUUCAAAUCCCUGGAUCGUCCCCCUUCACAGUGCCUAGGAGCCCCUCUCAUGGACGCAGACGCCACUGUGCUUGUAUAGCAUCUAGACCAGAUCAAAGAUGGCAUGUCUAUUGAGUUCUUUUCACACUGAAGUUUAUAUCAGCACUGAACCAAAGUAUUUCUCCUACCCUAUAAGUUGCAGUGUAUAGAACACAUGCCAAAAUUUGACUUUUAUUGCACUAAGGAACGAGCACCGAGAAUGGCCUUCUAGCAAGAUGAAGAUCUCAGUCCCCAUAGACUUUCAUCAAUAAGCAGCAGCAUGGAGGCAUGCAAGAGAAAAUAUUCUGUCAAGCAGAAAAAUAGCUACGCUUGCAAUAUGUAGCACAGGAAAUCGAUUUGGCCUUUAUGCUUCUAUUCCCUUCUUCAGUUGCUUGUUCCCAGUUUGCACUCAGUUUCUGGCUCUUUAUAGAUAUUUCAGUUUCACCUGGGCACUGACUGGGAUUCCUAUUGUUUCCUCCUCCUGUACAUAGCAUGUUCAGUGAAGGACGGCUCUCAAGCAAAUUGCUUAUUAUCCAAUAAAUAUUGUUUUAUCAAGUUACUACACAUACUAAUUAAAGAAAGACCACUGCAUUUGUUUCCAUUUUACUUUUGUUCUGGCUCAUUUGUAUUUAAUCGCCUCCUUGAAUUCUCCAUGACUUGUACAUGUGAUAUCUUUUGACUGAUCCAGCUGAAUACUGUGUUAUGUAAUCUUGCAAACACAAGUAACAGGACAGUUAGUGUGUGUGUGUGUGUGUGUGUGUGUG